rnacentral:misc_RNA from 1 species
UUGGUGAAUGAAAGCCCCAUCUUUCUUAUCUAGGAGAAACCUAGAACAGCUCAGAAGCAGGAUCAGAAGAGGAAAGGAAGAGAGAAGGCGGACGUUAAAUGAAAGGAAGGCCCAUGUCGUCCAUAUAUAAAUCAGUUUGAGAAAACGGCCAUUUCUACGACGUUAGUGUUUUAACGAUUUUCAAAUCUUUGAUAAGUGGCUACUCAUUAAUCGUUAGGGUAAGUGAG